AGCACAUGCAAGUCGAACGCUGAAGCCCCAGCUUGCUGGGGUGGAUGAGUGGCGAACGGGUGAGUAACACGUGAGUAACCUUCCCUUGACUCUGGGAUAAGCCUGGGAAACCGGGUCUAAUACCGGAUACGACCCUCCAUCGCAUGGUGUGGGGGUGGAAAGAUCAUCGGUCUUGGAUGGACUCGCGGCCUAUCAGCUUGUUGGUGGGGUAAUGGCCCACCAAGGCGACGACGGGUAGCCGGCCUGAGAGGGUGACCGGCCACACUGGGACUGAGACACGGCCCAGACUCCUACGGGAGGCAGCAGUGGGGAAUAUUGCACAAUGGGCGCAAGCCUGAUGCAGCGACGCCGCGUGAGGGAUGACGGCCUUCGGGUUGUAAACCUCUUUCAGUAGGGAAGAAGCGAAAGUGACGGUACCUGCAGAAGAAGCGCCGGCUAACUACGUGCCAGCAGCCGCGGUAAUACGUAGGGCGCGAGCGUUAUCCGGAAUUAUUGGGCGUAAAGAGCUCGUAGGCGGUUUGUCGCGUCUGCCGUGAAAGUCCGGGGCUUAACCCCGGAUCUGCGGUGGGUACGGGCAGACUGGAGUGCAGUAGGGGAGACUGGAAUUCCUGGUGUAGCGGUGAAAUGCGCAGAUAUCAGGAGGAACACCGAUGGCGAAGGCAGGUCUCUGGGCUGUUACUGACGCUGAGGAGCGAAAGCAUGGGGAGCGAACAGGAUUAGAUACCCUGGUAGUCCAUGCCGUAAACGUUGGGCACUAGGUGUGGGGGCCAUUCCACGGUUUCCGCGCCGCAGCUAACGCAUUAAGUGCCCCGCCUGGGGAGUACGGCCGCAAGGCUAAAACUCAAAGGAAUUGACGGGGGCCCGCACAAGCGGCGGAGCAUGCGGAUUAAUUCGAUGCAACGCGAAGAACCUUACCAAGGCUUGACAUGUUCCCGACCGGGCCAGAGAUGGUCCUUCCCCUUUGGGGCGGGUUCACAGGUGGUGCAUGGUUGUCGUCAGCUCGUGUCGUGAGAUGUUGGGUUAAGUCCCGCAACGAGCGCAACCCUCGUUCCAUGUUGCCAGCGGGUUAUGCCGGGGACUCAUGGGAGACUGCCGGGGUCAACUCGGAGGAAGGUGGGGACGACGUCAAAUCAUCAUGCCCCUUAUGUCUUGGGCUUCACGCAUGCUACAAUGGCCGGUACAAUGGGUUGCGAUACUGUGAGGUGGAGCUAAUCCCAAAAAGCCGG
rnacentral:rRNA from 2 species